GAGUUUGAUCAUGGCUCAGAUUGAACGCUGGCGGAAUGCUUUACACAUGCAAGUCGAACGGCAGCACGGACUUCGGUCUGGUGGCGAGUGGCGAACGGGUGAGUAACAUAUCGGAACGUAUCCAAUAAUGGGGGAUAACUAAUCGAAAGGUUGGCUAAUACCGCAUACGCCCUACGGGGGAAAGCUAGGGACCUUCGGGCCUGGCGUUAAUGGAGCGGCCGAUAUCUGAUUAGCUAGUUGGUGGGGUAAAGGCCCACCAAGGCGACGAUCAGUAGCUGGUCUGAGAGGACGACCAGCCACACUGGAACUGAUACACG
rnacentral:rRNA from 1 species